ACUGAGCUAUGCCGACAGAGCAGGAGCAGACAGACCAACCAGGAAAUGUGGGGGCGUGGCCUAAUCACGGACCCGUGACCACGCCCUCUUGGGUGGUGGAGGCCGGGGGGAACCCCUACCAUUUAGCAAGCACCACUAGCCGGGACGGCAGAGGGGUCACAGGAAUGGACCAGCGGCUAAGUCACUGUCACCUUGCGACCUGGCAGGACCUACAGUAUGCUGUCUUGCUCCUGCGGACAAUCAAGGCUUGGACACAUCGUUACAUUAUUAGAACCAAAGAGCCAGUAAACCAUUGCAUGGUCAGUUGUACUAGACAUGAAUAUAUUCAGUGAAAAAGAUAUUCCACAAGCUUCCUAGGCUGGUGCCAUUGCUGAUGACUGCAUUUUGCUUUGUUUUGUUUUUUAAUCAAAUUCUGUGACAAUUCAGCACAUGCAUAUCACACAGCCUCAAGAAAUAAGAUGCAACACUGCAUGGUAGUGAGGUGGUUAAAAGAAAAUAAAGUUAUACUAACAUUA